rnacentral:rRNA from 1 species
ACAAGCGGUGGAGCACGUGGUUUAAUUCGAUGCUAACCGAAGAACCUUACCUGGACUUGACAUCCCUGGAACCUGGUAGAGAUACUGGGGUGCCCUGCUUGCAGGGAACCAGGAGACAGGUGCUGCAUGGCUGUCGUCAGCUCGUGUUGUGAAAUGUUGGGUUAAGUCCCGCAACGAGCGCAACCCUUAUCCUUUGUUGCCAGCGAGUAAUGUCGGGAACUCAAAGGAGACUGCCGGUGAUAAACCGGAGGAAGGUGGGAUGACGUCAAGUCAUCAUGGCCCUUACGAGUAGGGCUACACACGUGCUACAAUGGCAUAUACAAAGAGAAGCGAACUCGCGAGAGCAAGCGGACCUCAUAAAGUAUGUCGUAGUCCGGAUUGGAGUCUGCAACUCGACUCCAUGAAGUCGGAAUCGCUAGUAAUCGUAGAUCAGAAUGCUACGGUGAAUACGUUCCCGGGCCUU